GAUGAACGCUGGCGGCGUGCCUAAUACAUGCAAGUCGAGCGAAGCGGGGACGGGUGAGUAACACGUGGAUAACCUCCUAUAAGACUGGGAUAACUUCGGGCAACCGGAGCUAAACCGGAAACUUAUAGCUAGAUCCGCGCUGCAUUAGCUAUGUGGUAAGGUAACGGCUUACCAAGGCAACGAUGCAUAGCCGACCUGAGAGGGUGAUAGGCAACACUGGAAUGUAGACACGGGCCAGACUCAUACGGGAGGAAGCAGUAGGGAAGCUUCCGCAAUGGGCGAAAGCCUGACGGAGCAACGCCGCGUGAGUGAUGAAGGUCUUCGGAUCGUAAACCUCUGUCAUUAGGGAAGCGGUACCUAAUCAGAAAGCCACGGCUAACUACGGGCCAGCAGCCGCGGUAAUUC
rnacentral:rRNA from 1 species